AAACAUGUUUCUGCAUACCAACUAUAUACUCACAAGUGAGGUCUGCGGAGGGGAAAGUGAUUGCAGACCUUACACCUAUCCCGUGAAGUGGAAAGUGAUAACAGACGUUACACAACUACACCGUGGAGGUAGAGAGCUGUAUUCGAAAGACCCUCAGCUCAAGUGCAACAAAUCAAAGUGAUUCUUCCCUGACACCAAAUCAAUCUACUCAUGUAUAAGCGGAAAGUGAUAGCAGACAUUACACAACUACACCGUGGAGGUAGAGAGCUGUAUUUGAAAGACCCUAAGCUCAAGUGCAACAAAUCAAAGUAAUUCUUCCACGACACCAAAUCAACCUAAUCAUGUAUAAGCGGAAAGUGAUGGCAUACAUUACACAACUACAGCAUGGAGGUAGAGAGGCUGUAUUCGAAAGACCCUCAGCUCAGGUGCAACAAAUCAAAGUAAUCCUUCCCCGACGCCAAAUCAAUCUAAUCAUGUACGACCAAGUUCCAGUAACAAGAGUCAUUGUUACAGAUGCACAAGACACAAUCUGCAUGGUGUAGUUGUAUACAAAAUUUGACAUAUUUGCUAAUUUUCACACUCAUCUUUCUCAUCUCAUAAAUGAGACAUAACCUCUCAACCAUGAAUCCUAAGCUCAGCAAUCAGCAUUAACAGUUCACAACAUUGACCCAAAACAACA
rnacentral:lncRNA from 1 species